rnacentral:snRNA from 8 species
AUCGCUUCUCGGCCUUUUGGCUCAGAUCAAGUGUAGUAUCUGUUCUUAUCAGUUUAAUAUCUGAUACGUCCCCCAUCGGGGGACUACAUAUUAAAUGGAUUUUUCGAACAGGGAGUCGGAAAUGGGGCUUGCUCCGUCCGCUCCACGCAUCGA